rnacentral:rRNA from 1 species
UAGGGAAUCUUCGGCAAUGGACGAAAGUCUGACCGAGCAACGCCGCGUGAGUGAAGAAGGUUUUCGGAUCGUAAAACUCUGUUGUUAGAGAAGAACAAGGACGUUAGUAACUGAACGUCCCCUGACGGUAUCUAACCAGAAAGCCACGGCUAACUACGUGCCAGCAGCCGCGGUAAUACGUAGGUGGCAAGCGUUGUCCGGAUUUAUUGGGCGUAAAGCGAGCGCAGGCGGUUUCUUAAGUCUGAUGUGAAAGCCCCCGGCUCAACCGGGGAGGGUCAUUGGAAACUGGGAGACUUGAGUGCAGAAGAGGCGAGUGGAAUUCCAUGUGGAGCGGUGAAAUGCGUAGAUAUAUGGAGGAACACCAGUGGCGAAGGCGGCUCUCUGGUCUGUAACUGACGCUGAGGCUCGAAAGCGUGGGGAGCAAACAGG